GGCUCAGUAGCGUAGUGGAUAUCGCAUUCCUUCCUACAUAGGUGUUUCGUUCUCGGAAGGUACGGAGUUCAAUUCUCCGUUGAGCAA